GAGUUUUUCUUCACCCAUGGUCAGGGAGGCGCCAUCGCCCUGGCUUUGGGGCUGGGGCCUCCGGGGAGGUUCCGGUAGGGGCGUUGGAGAGGCCGCUCUUUUUGCAAGGCCCGAGAUGGCGGGCCCUGCGCAGGCCGCCCUAUUCCGCGCCCUCAGGGCGUCAGUAUCCGCCUGAGGCCGGAUACCCACUCUGGGCUCGGAUACCCGCGCUGGGCCCGGAGCAUCCUCGGCGCUGCCCUCCCAGAGCCCCGCAGAGGCUGAGGUGGCGCGGGGGCGGCCCCGGCUCCGCGAGAAGAGGCGGCAGCGAGGGCUGGAGGACCCGGGCUACGGGGCUCCGGGGCGUCUGGCCUGGGUGGGACUGAGCCCAUCCAGGGACUGGGACUCCGGGGUUCUGGUGUAGGUGGAUCCCGGGCAGGCUCAGGACCAAGACCCUCUCCUUCCACCAAGGAGCGCCCAGAGGCCGGCGGGAGCUCCAGGUUCACCUCCUCCUCCUCCAGGGACGACUUGAGAAGGCAUCCUGACCCUAUGCAGAAAUGCAGAAACACUUCCAUGAGCUAAACAACCUAUGUGAAGGCCUGAAAGCCAAAGCAAGAUCCUCUUAUUACAAAGCUGUCCAACAAAAAGUUUUCCAAGUAACACUGGAGGUCCAUCACUCACUCUUCCUGGUCUGGAAAUGCCAGAAAUGUCCUCCUUGGUCCUUCUGAGAGUCAAGAUCUUUUCAAAGUCACCUCAGGAGCCACAGAACCACUCCAUCCUACCUGAAAUUGCAGGAUGACUCUUCUUUUGACCAGAGUCUCAAAAAUAUAUUCGUUGAUAAUUUUGAUUCCUGGGAGCCGCCAUUGCUUGCAAAAGAUGUGCCAGGGACUAGACAUUUUCUGUCUCCUCACUUGUCCGGGGAAGACUGAAGUUUUACUGAAACACAGAGAUGGGAAUCUGACCCUCUGAGCAGCCUCAGGAUUUUCUAAGUCUUCCAAGCAGAGUGGAAAUACUGGAAAUCCCACUUCCAGCUGGAUGUCUGGAUGAACUCCUGAAAGCUGCUGAGUGUCCUGCAGCAGGUGAGCUGUGGCCAGAGCCCAAGGAUGAAGGGGACUCCCUCACUCUGUGACUGUGAAGAGGAAGCCUGAGGUGUAGCAGGCCCAGGCCCCAGAAGUAUGGAAAAAAUGAGCCUUUCAUCCCAAAGAUGCAGCCGACUUGAUUGUGGUGGAUGAGCUUUUUGAUGUGCUGCUGGAUUCUGUUUGCUAGUAUUCUAUUAAGAAUUUUUGCAUUGAUGUUCAUCAGGGAUAUUGGCCUGGAUUGAGCAGGCCAUUUCCAAUCCAGAGGAAGACCUUCUAGAAGAAGUGAUGGGUGGGAGAGUGCUGACAUACUAUGCAAAGCUACUAUUUGGAGUUGGACACGAGUGCAUGUGACCUUGUGCCACAGCGGGAAUGUGAGCUGGAUGACAAAUGGAGAUUUGGACUUGUGAUAAUUGGCCUCUGUGUCAUUGUGUGGAAGACUGACUGGUCCCUUUAUUUCCUGUAGCUUGACUACCACACAAAUUAAUCCACUCAAAUGUUGGCAAGUGGAGCAGAGUCCCAGGACAGUCUGCAAUCUCUACAGGUACAGAAACACCCCCAGUUCAAGGAUCUUCACACCUGGAUUUAGGCCUACACCUGCAACUACCCCAGGCCAGUUAUCCAGGCAGUGACUUUCUGUACAGCUACAGUCACCUCUGGACACCUGCGGAGACUUUAAAAAUUUCCAGAAGGUCAGGAAUUUUUGGAGACCUUUCUUAUGGCUACGUUGCCUGCAAAGGUGAAUCAAUAAGCUUCUGAACUGACUUAGAAAAUGUUGCAGAGACUCUUGUGAACAGAUAGACCCUCUCCUGCCACUCCAGAUAGACGUAUCCGGGUCACACACACCUGAUUUAACAACAUCUCAUUAUCUCAGGCACCAAUUUGAUCUUCUACUACUUUGCAGACAUCUCUUCUGCAAACACCAGACAAACUGAGACAAUGAACUUCCGCAGGACCCAAAGCACCUCUUACUGCAGGAAAGAAGAUCCAGUGAGAUAGUUAGUCCACAAAUGGAAUGUCAAUCCAUAAACACACUUAAGUAACAGAA
rnacentral:lncRNA from 10 species